CCUACAUCUCAGGAUAGAAGGAGCUGCAUCUUAAUAUCAGUAAGUUCAGCCUAUACCCUUCAUAUAAUGGACAAAGACCUGAUGAGAGUAAGAACAAGGACCCUACCAAGCGGUACCCCUCCAGACCCUAGCCGAAAUACAGUCUGAGGUACUGGUCAUACAAGACCCUUGUCAAACUGCAAGCAGGUCGUGGUCUCGGUGCCCU